rnacentral:rRNA from 1 species
UACGGAGGAUCCGAGCGUUAUCCGGAUUUAUUGGGUUUAAAGGGUGCGCAGGCGGGCUUGUAAGUCAGUGGUGAAAGACUACCGCUUAACGGUAGCAUUGCCAUUGAUACUGCAGGCCUUGAGUACAUUUGAAGUGGGCGGAAUGUGUAGUGUAGCGGUGAAAUGCUUAGAUAUUACACAGAACACCGAUAGCGUAGGCAGCUCACUAAGAUGCAACUGACGCUCAGGCACGAAAGCGUGGGUAUCAAACAGG